UUUUGGAAAUGGUGUGUGUGUGUGUGUGUGUGUGUGCACGCACACACACACACACACACCUUUCUCAAAAG